rnacentral:rRNA from 1 species
GAUGAACGCUGGCGGCGUGCCUAAUACAUGCAAGUCGAGCGAACGGACGAGAAGCUUGCUUCUCUGAUGUUAGCGGCGGACGGGUGAGUAACAAGUGGAUAACCUACCUAUAAGACUGGGAUAACUUCGGGAAACCGGAGCUAAUACCGGAUGAUAUUUUGAAACGCAUGGUUCAAAAGUGAAAGACGGUCUUGCUGUCACUUAUCGAUGGAUCCGCGCUGCAUUAGCUAGUCGGUAAGGUAACGGCUUACCAAGGAAACGAUGCAUAGCCGACCUGAGAGGGUGAGCGGCCACACUGGAACUGAGACACGGUCCAGGCUCCUACGGGAGGCAGCAGUAGUGAAUCUGCCGCAAGGGGCGAAAGCCUGACGGUGCAACGCCGCGUGAGUGAUGAAGGUCUUCGGAUCGUAAAACUCUGUUAUUAGGGAAGAACAUAUGUGUAAGUAACUGUGCUCAUCUUGACGGUACCUAAUCAGAAAGCCACGGCUAACUACGU